UGCUGAAAGGAGAAAAUCCGUAGCCAAGAAAACUUUAUCCAUCAAGGCUAUCAUUUCGAAUAGAAGGAGAGAUAAAGAGUUUCCCAGACAAACAAAAGUUAAAGAAAUUCAUGAUCACUAAAACAGCCCUAUAAGAAAUGGUAAAGGGACACUUUGAGUGGAAAGAAAAGACUCAUAAGCAAGAGUGAGAAAAGAUAGGAAG